rnacentral:rRNA from 1 species
ACCCGCGUACAUGCCACCGGGGCAUCCCGGAGGCAGGAAAGGCUUCGGCCGGACAGGGAUGGGCAUGCGGCGCAUUAGGCAGUAGGCGGGGUAACGGCCCACCUAACCGACGAUGCGUAGGGGUUCUGAGAGGAAGGUCCCCCACACUGGUACUGAGACACGGACCAGACUCCUACGGGAGGCAGCAGUGAGGAAUAUUGGUCAAUGGUCGGGAGACUGAACCAGCCAAGCCGCGUGAGGGAUGAAGGUACAGAGUAUCGUAAACCUCUUUUGUCAGGGAACAAAGGCGGGGACGUGUCCCCGGAUGAGUGUACCUGAAGAAAAAGCAUCGGCUAACUCCGUGCCAGCAGCCGCGGUAAUACGGAGGAUGCGAGCGUUAUCCGGAUUUAUUGGGUUUAAAGGGUGCGCAGGCGGUCUGUUAAGUCAGCGGUCAAAGCCCGGGGCUCAACCCCGGCCCGCCGUUGAAACUGGCAGUCUCGAGUUGGAGAGAAGUAUGCGGAAUGCGCGGUGUAGCGGUGAAAUGCAUAGAUAUCGCGCAGAACUCCGAUUGCGAAGGCAGCAUGCCGGCUCCACACUGACGCUGAGGCACGAAAGCGUGGGUAUCGAACAAAAGUAGAUACCCUGGUAGUCCACGCAGUAAACGAU